AUUGAACGCUGGCGGCAGGCCUAACACAUGCAAGUCGAGCGAGCGGCGGACGGGUGAGUAAUGUCUGGGAAACUGCCCGAUGGAGGGGGAUAACUCCUGGAAACGGUAGCUAAUACCCCAUACCAUCAGAUGUGCCCAGUUUGGAGUAGCUAGUGGGGGGGGUGACGUCUCACCUAGGCGACGAGCCCUAGCUGGUCUGAGAGGAUGACCAGCCACACUGGAACUGAGACACGUUCCAGACUCCUACGGGAGGCAGCAUGGGGGAAUAUUGCACAAUGGGCGCAAGCCUGCUGCAGCCAUGCCGCGUGUGUGAAGAAGGCCUUCGGGUUGUAAAGCACUUUCAGCGGGGAGGCGUUACCCGCAGAAGAAGCACCGGCUAACUCCGUGCCAGCAGCCGCGGUAAUAC
rnacentral:rRNA from 1 species